rnacentral:lncRNA from 1 species
CCCAAAUUGGCCUCAAGCUGGCACUGUUGUAGUUUUCUUCUGUUUCUAGACCAGUUCAGAAACUUGCUUCUUUCCUGUGUUGACUUUAGUUUCUUGGUAAAUUAGCUCCUUAAACCUUCAAGCUACUAGUGAGUUUGUCUGAGGGUGGAUAAAUGUUGCCACACCUGAGUCAAUAAAGAAUGAAUCAGUGUGGCCUUCAUAGAGGGGUGUGGUACUGGUAGUUACCAUGACAGCCAAAGACACUCGAGAGAACUACAAAACGAGGAUAGCGGGAAGUGGGAAAUGGAGGAAUGGAAUUGAGGGCAAGUCCCCUCCAUGCUUCCUGACAGUGUCUUCCUUGAUGUCUCUGCAGCAUCACA